CCUGUAGGAGUAUUUAAAACAGAGGAAUUGACAUGUUACUAAUUUCUUCUUCUUCCCAAACAGAUUUUGAAGGUAUUGAAGCACAACCUUUGUACCCAACCUGCAAAAUGCUAGUAUAAGAUUCUUAGAUAAGGAGGGCUCCAGGCGCUCAAACAAUUUCAACUACAAGCAGGUUCGCGGAUCCUCCUGUGUCCCCCUUUUCUCUGGUUUAUGAUUCCCAACAUUUCCUACCUCCCAUUGGCAAUGCCCGGCUCUGCUCAGGUUCCUAGGAAGUCGUGCCAAUUUGAUGUCAUGUGAUGCUGCUGAUAAGUCUGAAAUUUUGCAUGCCCAAAAUCUAGGCGUCCCAGUUUCGUUGUAGCUACGCUUCUAGUUGUUGCGGGAAAGUGCUCGCUUCUGGGUGUGAGACAAUGGUCUUGCGGUCUUAAUUUUUUGAUCCAGUCGAUUAUGGUAAGAUGUCAUGCCAUGUUGUGAUGUUUGCUUAUUAGGUCUGUAUUGAUCUAUUCUUGCUAGAUGUGCAACAACAAAUUAAGAGAUACGAUACUGAUUCCUUUCUUGUUCAAUGUAAAUUUAUUACAUAAACAUGUGGAGGGCAUUGUAACUUUAGUAGAGUUGGUCAUAUGGUACUGAUUCCUUUCUUGUUCAAUGUAAAUUUAGGAUGAGGAGCGUUGGUGAUAAACACUUACGAGUUCAUUAAUAACUAAGAGACUGUCAUGCUGAAAAAACACUUCCUGCUGUUGAUUAUUAAUCCAUGAGUAUAUUACGACUCCAUAUACGGCAACCACAUGUAGACUUGCUCUAGCUCUUCUUAAUUUCCAUGCAUGUUUCUUUCCGGACUUAAUCUUACUAAAUAUCACCCUGUCACUUGCUGCUAUUGUUAUUCACACUAUAUCCUCAUUGUUCUGUUUUUUUGUUGGCAGAUAUUUUGCCUAAAUUCAAGACGAAAGAAGAUGUUCAAAGAAGCGCCAAGACAUUUUUGUAUAGCAAGUUAUGUAAUAAUAGUUGGGUUAUCUGGCCAUUCUGAACUCCAGAAUUUCAUAUAUCUUCUCUCUGUUUUUGAAUGAAAUGUUGUAUGUUUUAGAAUUACAAUUUUUGUUUCAUAUGAAAUAGUAAUUAUGUAUGUGAUUUGAAAAUGUGUGCAAUGGAAACAUGACUUAUGUAACCCAC
rnacentral:lncRNA from 1 species